rnacentral:rRNA from 1 species
GACAUCCAGAGAAUUUAGCAGAGAUGCUUUAGUGCCUUCGGGAACUCUGAGACAGGUGCUGCAUGGCUGUCGUCAGCUCGUGUUGUGAAAUGUUGGGUUAAGUCCGCAACGAGCGCAACCCUUUAUCCUUUGUUGCCAGCACGUAAUGGUGGGAACUCAAAGGAGACUGCCGGUGAUAAACCGGAGGAAGGUGGGGAUGACGUCAAGUCAUCAUGGCCCUUACGAGUAGGGCUACACACGUGCUACAAUGGCGUAUACAAAGAGAAGCGACCUCGCGAGAGCAAGCGGACCUCAUAAAGUGCGUCGUAGUCCGGAUUGGAGUCUGCAACUCGACUCCAUGAAGUCGGAAUCGCUAGUAAUCGUAAAUCAGAAUGUUACGGUGAAUACGUUCCCGGGCCUUGUACACACCGCCCGUCACACCAUGGGAGUGGGUUGCAAAAGAAGUAGAUAGCUUAACCUUCGGGAGGGCGUUUACCACUUUGUGAUUCAUGACUGGGGUGAAGUCGUAACAAGGUAAGCGUAGUGCU